rnacentral:rRNA from 1 species
CAGCCGCCGCGGGAAUACAGAGGGUGCGAGCGUUAAUCGGAAUUACUGGGCGUAAAGCGUGCGCAGGCGGUUAUAUAAGACAGAUGUGAAAUCCCCGGGCUCAACCUGGGAACUGCAUUUGUGACUGUAUAGCUAGAGUACGGCAGAGGGGGAUGGAAUUCCGCGUGUAGCAGUGAAAUGCGUAGAUAUGCGGAGGAACACCGAUGGCGAAGGCAAUCCCCUGGGCCUGUACUGACGCUCAUGCACGAAAGCGUGGGGAGCAAACAGGAUUAGAUACCCCCGUAGUCCCUGUCUCUUAUAC